CCGUUUCCACCUGCUGGGGGCUGAUAAAAUGAAUGUGACUGUCGAUGCCCCCCGCCGUCACGAUGCACCCCUCCCCCGCCACCACUUCAGUGGCCGCCCCGAUCACCAUGUCCGGACGCACCCCAUCCAUGGUCUCGGGAUUGCCCGCCUUUCCGAUCCCAACGAUCCGGCCGUCCCGGACCCCGAUGUCUCCUUUGACAAUGCCCCAGUGAUCCACCACCAGGGCGCCGGUGAUCACCAGGUCCAACACGCCGUCCCGGCGAGUGGCCCGGGAGGAUUGGCCCAUUCCAUCCCGCAG
rnacentral:sRNA from 1 species